UAUUUUUAGCGUGCAUGGAUUUGAAACAUGUUGUCAAAACACGAAAGAAGAAAAAUAUAAAAUCGAUUUGUCGGAUCGGCGGUGUUUGAAAAAUAAUUUUUACGUUCUAUUUGAGUGGUAGGCAGUGAAAAGAACCAGACACAAGUAUUGGGGAGCCGAGCACUUUCCAGAAGUGCUGCUGCGGGGAAGUAAUCAUCCUAGCGGAAUCGUCAAUUCCUGGCGAACCAGUGUCUUUCCGGUCUUUCGCAAACCCGGAGGAUGACCGCUUCAUUUAUCACGACCAACCAUUCUUCACCUGAAUCACAAAUCGUACGCACUCCCGAGGAAAAGUGCAUGUUUUAGGUGGCUGCCAUGGAUUCGACGCCCAGUGUUUAUCUGAAUGCAGGAAUAAUUAUAACGUAUCUGUAAAGCUAUCAGUACACACUUUGCCAAAUGUGCAAAUAUUUGCCAAAUUUUGACAAAUUUAUUUGUCAUAUGUGUACUGACCAAAUAUAUUUGCACAAACAUUGAUGUGCAAAUAUUUGUCUAACUUUGCAAUAGCCAAUACUUGAAGAUAUGAGGAAAUAUAUAUUGCAAAAGUAUGCCAAAACAAGUUUUAUUUGGUCAACUUUGCAACUCUGUUCAGUUCUCGAGUGGCAAACAUGGACAAAUAAGAGUUUGUCAAAUGUUUGUCCACCGUGUACUGAC